GGGUAAUUAGCUCAGUUGGUUAGAGCGCAUCGUUUACAUCGAUGAGGCCAUAGGUUCGAGUCCUAUAUUACCCA
rnacentral:tRNA from 2 species